AGCUCCAAUAGCGUAUAUUAAAGUUGUUGCGGUUAAAAAGCUCGUAGUUGGAUUUCAGUCGAGGACGACCGGUCCUUUUUUAGGAACCUGGUUUGGCCGAGACAUUUCUUGGUGGUUGUGAUUGCGCUUGAUUGUGCUGCAUAUGCCCCAAGUUUUUUACUUUGAGGAAAUUAGAGUGUUCCAAGCAGGCAUUUGCCUUGAAUAUAUUAGCAUGGAAUAAUAAAAUAAGACAUUGGUUCUGUUUUGUUGGUUUAAGGAAUUGAUGUAAUGAUUAAUAGGGAUAGCCGGGGGCAUUCGUACUUAACUGUCAGAGGUGGAAUUCUUGGAUUUGUUAAAGACGACCUACUGCGAAAGCAUUUGCCAAGAAUGUUUUCAUUG
rnacentral:rRNA from 1 species